GCAAUGGUGGUUCAGCCGUAUAACUCUUGCCUGCCGUGUGGGAGACCAGGGUUGAAUUCCCCGCCAGUGCA
rnacentral:tRNA from 1 species